rnacentral:rRNA from 1 species
AUGAAAUUUAACGGAUUUGGCGGCAAGAUAGCCAUUUAGAGGAACCUGCCCUGUAAACGAUGAACCACGAAUUUCUUUACUUUUAUUAGAAUUCAGUUUGUAUACCGCUGUUGUCAGUUAGUUUCUUUAGAAAACUUUCAUUCAUGAAAAAAUCACAGACUUCAAGUAAAGGUGCAGCUUAUAUAAAAGAUAGAGGUGGGUUACAUUUAUUAGAUUAAAACGGAUAAGAUAUUGAAAUUAUCUUUGAAGGUGGAUUUAAUUGUAAAGUUUAAUAAAACUUGAUGAGAGCUCUGUCUUGUG